UAAUACGUUCCGAGCUGACGCAUUUCAACGCUAUAUAUCGGGAUUUUCACUAACCAGCAAUCAUUUUUUCUAAAGUUUCGCUUUAAAGUUUUCUUUAUUUUGCUUUGUUGUUUGCUUACAGUUGUAGCAUUACAACCACUUGAAUAAGUAAUUUUUUUCAUUGAAUCUGUCUGUAUAUUUCUCAAUUCCCUAUACUGUAGGAAAAAAAUAUAGUAUUCAGCUCUUUUCUUUAUAUUCUAUUUUCUGGAAAGGAAAAUUCUAUUCAGAAACUGAAGGGAAAGUUUAGAAGGGCCAUAAAACCAUAAACAAACAUAAGAAUUAUCGGGAUAUAUUGGUGCAAUAAAAACCCUUUGUGCAGUGUCGGGACCCUUUGAAGAAUUUCGGAUUCCUAUGUAAACAUAUGCGAUAUACCAUAAAAGAGAUAAUAUUCCGAUGUUCCAGAUCAAGUUUCUUUAUGCAUAGUUUCCGUUACCAAAAACUAUAGGCUGUACCCAUCGGUGGACUAUGGGAUGGAUCCUUAUGAUAUUGGUCAAUAAGAUUUAUAAUCUCCUUCCCUCUCCAAAGGGGUGUAGCUCAUUUCUGAUAUAAAUAUGUGGAAAGAAAAUGGAUUUUGAUAAAAAAUGCAUUAAUUGUAACAGAUAUUUGCGAAAAACAGUUGGAUAUA